GUUUAAUAGUGCAUUUCAUUCGAUCGAACCAUAAAUUUAAAGGUACCUUCGUGCAUAAUGGCACCGCCGCUUCCUGAGUUUACAAUUAUCUGUAUUGACAAUGGUCGGAGGACUUUAUGUUGUAAAGAUAUCUACCACGCUCAACUUAAAGGUGC